GGUCAUGCGUUUUCGCUUUCGAAACUCGAGUUUGCUGCUGCUUACCAUAGACUAAGAGGUGCUAAUGUGUUAUUGCCUUUUGCUUUUCUUUAGAUCUUACGUUUGAUUUUGCUGUUCUUCAGCUGUUAUGGAAGGCCUGCUCUAGAUUUUCUUUUUUUUUUACCUAAAUUUUGCUUUCUUGUUAAUUUUUUAUUGUCAUUUUUCUGUAUAAGAUAAGCUUGAUUUUGAUGGCUGCGAAUCCUAUUUUUUUGGUUGAUGAUUGAAGAAAGUUAAAAAAAAAAAAAUUUUUUUUUUGAAAAAUACAUAUCGAAGAAGGAUUCUAUGCUCUGAUGAAAGUAGUUCAAUUUUCAAGUUCUUUUUUGAAAGUCAGAUUUUCUUUUCAAGUUUUAUUUUCUAAUCUUAGUUGAGACAAGUUUUUUUUUUUUCUUUGCUGUUAUAUGAAUAAAAUAUAGUGCAUGAAAACAAUCCAUUUUUAGUUGGGUGAAAUUACCUUAAAUGGUGAAGAUUUAGCUUAUUAAUUGUAUUUUGGUAACUCCUUAAAUUUCUCCAAUGGUUGGUUGAGUUUAGAGCCCUGUUAGAUUUUUAGAUGUAUUUAUUAUAUCUAUUUACCAAACUUUGAUGAGUUUAUAUUUGAUGUGCCAUCAGUCUAUAAUUAAUUAAUUUGGGAAAUUACCAGCGUUUAUGUAUGGGGCUUCUAAAAAUGUUUUGGUGAUGUGGUUACUGGUGAAACAGAGAAUUACUUUUGAUUUUAUAUACGCUAUCAGAAUUAUGAUUUUUGAGCCUUUUCUUCCAUUGUUUUUAAUGUUGCUAUCAAAGAUAUCUUUCAUUGAGGUAAAAUUAUUUGCUGGCAUAUCUAACAUUGUGUAGUGUAGAUCACAUGGAAAAAUGGUGGAGGCAGUAGCGGUCCUUAGCAAAAGUGAAGGUGUUAGUGGAACUGUUUUCUUCUUUCAAGUGGGAGAUGGUAAAUCACAAGCCUGAUAAGACUUCUUGGUCUCUGUAUUUCUGUCUUUUAUGUCAAAGUUAUUUAAUCCUUUCUGCCCUUUUUAGGUCCAACUUCUGUGACUGGGAACUUCUGGUCCUAAGCCUUUGCUCCAUGGAUUCCAUGUUCAUGCCCUUGGGGACACAACAAAUGGUUGCAUGUCAACAGGUAAAAGUCUGAAAGUUGGAUUUGUUUUUCCUUUUUCUUUGAAGUUGGAAGGAAAUGAAAAAAAAAAGAAAAAGGAAUGACAGUAGGUUGGCUUUAUUGAUUUCUUUUGUCUUUGGAUGUAAUUGUUUUGGAGAUUUUUACCUUGUGAUUAAUCUCUUUGCAGGACCCCACUUUAAUCCUGCCGGCAAAGAGCAUGGUACCCCAGAAGAAGAGAAGUGCCAUACUGGUGAUCAAGGAAUAUCACUGUUGGUGAUGAUGGUAUGAAUAUUUGCCUUCUGGAAAUGACUAUAGGCUUUCUAGUUCAUUACUAACAGUUUCAGAAUAUUUAUAUUAGGUUUUCUUUUCUUUUCUCUUCUUUUUUGUUUCAACUUUUUUCAGUUGUAUGUUGUUUGGUGUUUUUGUUUCUUGUAUUGUUAACACUGUUAAUUUUAUUUGUGUGGUCCAGACUGUGAUAGUUUCUCUAUCAUUGACAAACAAGUUUUUGCUCAACUCCUUAUUCCUCUGCUUACAUUUGAUCAACUUAAGGCCAUUUCUGAAAGUUAUUGUUCCAUACUUUGGCAGAUUCCUCUCACUAGGCCAUACUCCAUUUAUUGGAAGAGCUGUUGUUGUCCAUGCAGAUCCUGAUGACCUUGGCAAGGGUAAUAGUUACAAAAUUUUGAGUCUGUUUAAGUUGUUUACUUCUUUUAUACUUAGUCUUGCCUAUGCUAGGAACACUACUUAGUAAGUGAUCGACUUCCUGAAUUGGUUCCCCUCCCAACAAUCUUAUCUUCCUGGCCUCCCAACAAUCUUAGCUUCCCGGCUGUGAGAGAAAAAUCAAAUUAAAAUAUUAAUACCCUUAUGGCUCAUGCUUUUGUCUAUGGAGAUUAGCCGAGCUAUGAAAUGGAAUGCUUAAUAAUAUACUCAAUAAGUAUUUGUAAUGCUUGUACUUAAGCUUACUUAAGUAUCCACCAAGAACUAUGAAAUGGAUUAAUGAUAUUAGGGCCACUAUAAAGUUUGAUCAUUUAUAAUUGUUACUUCAUUUUAGUUACCAAUUUAUAUAUUCAGCAGUAUAGGCAUUUCUUGUGCAUCAUAUGCAGGGUUUGUUGUAAAUAUGCUAGUUAUGAUCUAGGCAUUUAUGUAGAAAUGACAGUUAUACUUUUGAUUAAUAACAUAAUGUUGAUGCCUGUUUUAAAUGUCAUUGGGCAGGCCAAACCAGAGACUAUGGGUAAGGUAUGUGAUUUAGUAAGGAAACAACUAGCUAUAGCAAAUGACCAACCAGUCACUGGUGAAUCAAAUUUGCUGAUCUUGUAGCUGAUUCUCUUGAUAUGGUACACUCUGAAUGUUAGGUUUUUGUUCCUUUUGCCUUUUCAUCUCAUUUGGGUAAAACAAGCGUGCAUGAUCAAGGAGAGCAAGCAUUUGUUUGAGUUUGAUGAAUUUUUUCCUAUCUAUUUGUUUUAGAUGCCUAGGUCUAUGUAUUUAUUCUUGGGAUUAUCCCUUUUUCACAAACCAACCGUAAUUUUCUUUAUCAAGAUGGGCCAUGCCACUCUUCUAUCUUAGCUUUCCUGACAACUCUAGGUUUUGCGCAAAAGCAGCAUGUCCACUCUACAAUGUACUUUAAGGUUGUGCUUCUUCCUUUAAAGGACCAAGGUUGGUGGAGGGAACAUUAGUGGAGGGCACAACAUGGGGCAUUUCUGGGCCAAGCAUUUUGGCUAACAUAAUAAAGUUGUCCUUUUGGUUCUUCCUACAGCUUGAAGCCCUCUCUCCCCUCAACUUUUGAGUUCCCUUGUUGCUUGUUGGCUACUAACAUUGUUUUUGUUACUUCUUCGCCAACUCUAAACUCUCUCCCACUUUACCUUGCAUUGUUUUAAAUUCGGUGGAAUUCCUUUUCAGGUUAAGAUUGUGAUGGGACUUGAGGAAGAAUUUGGAAUCACUGUCGAAGAGGCCAAUGCCCAAAGCAUCACAGCGGUUCAGGAUGCUGCAGAUCUCGUGGAGAAGCUCAGCAGUGAGAAAGGUGCCUAGAAACAAUGGCCUAAAUCAGAAGUUCAUUUGCAGAUAUCGAUGUUACUUAACUGGCCUGCAAACUCUAGAGCAUUUGGCAAAAUCUUGUUGUGAACUCAAGUCCAUUUAUUUGUUCAAUCUAGGAAAACUCAAAGUAGUUGGGAUUUUUAGUUAAUUUGUGGAUUUAACUUUCCGUUGUGAGUCUACGAAAUACUAUUUGAUUUGAUUGUGUGGCUUUUUUAAAUUGGUGGUGACUCAUAGAACUUUUGUUUCCUUAAGCUGCACAUAUAGUUAUGAUGGGUAAUGUAGGUUUUAGCUGCGGGGUAGAGUCCCUGACAAAGGUUAUAUGCCCAAAUCAAAAGCUUAAAAUGACUUGGGGUUGAAUCUUAUUAAGAUAAUCCUGAAUGUUUAUUUUUUACAACAAAAUCAUGAUAACCAAUGUCAUUGAGACUUAACUAUCAUUUUGUAUAAUUCAAAAUCAUAUGUAUAAAAACAAAGUAAUUCAUUAAUCUCAAGGGUUCCAACAAGAGUGGCAGGCAAACAGAACACUGGAAUAAAUAGCUUAAGUAGAGUAUGCAAACAACAAAACAAACACAGGAGUUUAGGUGCAAGACAUCAACAAAUGUUACAAAUUAAACUUACAAUCCAUAACCAUCAAGCAUGACUUCGAAAUCUGAAGCAAAACAAAGUAAAAAGCUCACACAUAUUUUAGAAUUACAAUCCACAACUUGAAAUCUAAUGCAAACAAACAAGGUAAAAGCUUCCACGGCCUGCAAGCUUUGGCUGAUUCAUCCAUCAUGAGAUCUGCUGGCUGCUGCAUGCAACGGUUAAAAAUUGAAAUGAGUACUUAACAAAGAGAGCUGAUAAUUAAUUACUAAAUAAAUAGAACAUCAGAAAAAAACAAUAUAUAAAUGUUUCAUAUCCAAAUAUGUGUUUCAUAACAAAAUUAAAAUGAUUAGAAUUAUAUAGGUCCAUGAUAAAAAUUGCUACUCCAUAAAAAAAAGUAAAUAACAAAGAAAAAUUAUCUUGGUUGAAAAUGUUCUAAAGCUAAAGAAAUUUUGUAUUCUUAAUUUGUGUUCAAAUAUUACCAUUUUUGGCCCUUUUGUUUUAUAAUUUCACACAAUUCUAAAUGACAACGGUUGCAACCAAAUGCAAGUCUAAAAGAGUGAUAGAUUAUAUUUUUUAAAUACUCUACUUAAACAUUGAGUUUUGUUGGUGUAUGUAGAAAGAAAAAAGAAAUCUGGAAAAGAUUCGAAAGUUUUGGACGAAAUGUGUAAUAUACAUGUGUCAUCUUACUAACCCCGCUUACAAAGUUUAAAAUCUCAGCGGAUGGAGUAAUUUCUCUAAUUAUAAUAGUUAAAGUAGGUUGUUAUGGCACUAAAUAAAAGCUCACCUUCGUUAUUCUGUGUGGAAGCUAGCUCCAAAUUAUAUACCUGCAGUACUUGAAGCAAAAAAUUUUUCCAAUUAAAAGUAGUUAGCUUUAGAAGAUAUUAAAGGCAAAAAGAAGUUUUAUGUAACAACCUUAAUAACAUAGGACACUCUAAAUUCUUAUUGUCAACGUACAACAAGUUUUUAAAGAAAGAGAAGAAAAGGCCUCUGGUGAAGAUUGAAAGAAGCAAAACGAGAUAGAGAGAUAAGAGCAAAUAAAAUCUGAUAGAGAAUUUCAACAUUUACUACGUACCUCUAAUCAUCUAUGAUUUCAACCUCUUGGACAUGUGCAAUUUUGUGCCAAUCUGCACCCCCAUCUCGUCGGCAUCUUUCGCUCAAGACCGGACAUUCUUCAAUUUUUAGUUGUCUAAGUUCAGUGAGGCGAUCCAUUCCCUCCGGAAGAGAUAACAAUUUUGGGCAAUCACUGAUCUCAAGUUUACAAAGUGAAGUGAGAUUUUGUAGCCACGCUGGUAGUACCUCAAAGUUGUCACACUGGCGAAUAUCUAUAUGCUGCAAAGUGGUUGAAGAUCCUUCGAGAAGCAAUCGUGGCAAAUAUGUCAACGCAUCUGACCCCCAUACUGAGAAAGUUUUAAGGCUCAAGCAAAGGUCUUUGUCUUUUUCCUCUUCCGGUUCCAUUUGUAAAUUGAUUAUAUUGCAACCAACUAUACUAAGGACUUCUAAUUUGGUUAGGAAUUUCAGGCUUCGUGGCAAUGAGACAAGUUUAGAACAAUAAUUCAGAUUAAGUGUUUGAAGUGAUGUCAGGCUCUGCAUUCCUUCAAACAAACAUUCUAAAUUGUCACAGUGAGCCAAGCCUAAGUAUUGAAGAGAACUCCAACAUCCUGGUCUAAUUUCUUUCAAAUGCUUAGCUCCAAUAGUUAUUUCUAGAUAUCUAAGCUCAAUCAAGCUUUGCACGCUGUCAGGCAACUGCAUCAAAGGAACAUUCCACAUUGAUAACGUUAGCAAGCUCUGUAACUUAUAGAAAGAACUAGGAAGUUUCCUUAUUUUACGACAUCCAUCCAAGUUGAGGUAUCGUAAGUGCUUCAAGGUACCAAUGGAAUUUGGUAAGGCUUCCAAUGAUGAAUAAUUUAAUUUAAGUGCCCGUAGAUACUUGAAAUUUGAGACACAGAAACUGAUAAAGGUGUCAUCAAUAGUAUUUGGUCCCUCUGAAACCUUUAGUGCAAUUACCGUUCGAACAUUUUUUAAUUUCUUGAAAAUUUGCGGAACUACUAGCAGCUUCUCCUCACAAAAUGAUAAAUGCCGAAUUUUUUCGUCAACAUUUUCUGUUUGGUAAUUCACUGUUUUACACUCUUUUUGUGACACAUCUAAUGCAAGAUCAUGUAUCAAAUCAUGCAUUUUAAAUUCAAAACCAAUGAAGAAAUCACGAACCUUCUGAACGAGGCACCUUGACAGUAACUCAUUCAAAUAUCGCCUCCCAACAUCCUCCCACUCUUGCUUUUGCUUUGAAUACUCAAGCAGUCCAUUUGCCAUCCAAAAUUGGAUGACAUCAUCACUAUCAUAGCCAUGAUCCUUUGGGUACAAGGACAAAAAGGCAAAACAUCGUUGCAAAUGAGAUGGCAAAUGGUUGUAACUCAACUUCAACACUGGUAAAAUAUCAUUAUCACUUUGCUUAAGUCUCCAAAUUUCAUCAUCUCUAACAGAGAUCCAUUCGGAUUCAUCGGUUUUUGAAAAAAGCAAGCUCCCCAAUGUCCUCACUGCCAAUGGAACCCCUUUGCAUUUCUUUACAAUUUCUUCUCCUAUUCUCAUGAGAUUUGGAUGCUGUCCCUCAUCACCAUCAUUAAAUGCCCAUUUUGCAAACAAAGUCAAACAUUCUUCAUGAGGGAGACCAUUCAAUUCAUAAGGGUGAACUGAACUCAUUAUUGAGGCAACCUUCAAACUCCGAGUAGUCACAAUGAUUUUACUUUGAGCAAAGUCACCCAUUGACUUCAAUAAAUCUCUUAACUCAAUCCAUCUCCCACGAUCUUCAUUCCACACGUCAUCUAGAACGAGCAAAAACUUCUUAUCAGUCAAAAGACUUCGCAAACAAGUUUGCAACACCUCAACUGUUGAAUCAUCACAUUUUUCUCGUUUGGUGAUGGAGUGAAUAAUCAGCUUGAGCAAUCUAGCAAGGGUAAAUUCCUCAGAAACACAGACCCAUAUUUUCAAUGGGAAAAGUCUAGUAACCCGAUCGUCAUUGUAUACGAGUUGAGCGAGUGUGGUUUUCCCUAGACCCCCAAUUCCAACAAUGGGAAUGACAGGGAUGUCUCCAGCCUUACUUGGUUCCAUCAAACGGUUGACGAUUUUCUGUUUAUCCACAUCUCUACCAAUGACAUCAGAAGAAUUCACAAAAGAGUGAGUCUCCCUGUGAAUAACAUGUCGGUUAUCGCCACCCUGUCCUAGAUUAAAGCUCUUCCACCCAGUGUCAAGUUCGUCUAACCUCUGAUGGAUCUCUCUGAUUUUAUGAUCCACUUUUAAAGAGAAUGAAAGUGGGAAAGAGCAUGAAGCAAAAAAUCGUACCUUUGUGCUGAUGCCUGGAUGAUUUACGACCUGUUUCCGUAGAGCUUCACAGUGGAAUUCAUCAAGCACAUCUUCAGCAUCAUAAAAGAUGUCUCUGAGCUUCCACAAACAACGGCUCAACUUUUUAUUCUGGUGCUGCUGCCUCUCAGCAUCCAAAAGCACAUCUUUAAUGCGGCUCAUGGUGUCCUCGAGCUUUUUCAAAUCGCUUUUGACAUUAAACGCCAAACGAAGUUCUUCUACAGCGAGAUGGGCUAUUUUCUCCAGAACUCUUUCUGCAAUAUUGAAGAGAAAUGAUUCUGCCAUAAUUGAACUCUAGGAGCAGGGAAACGAAAAAGAAAGGCAAUGAAGCACUCAAAAAUUAAUUUGUUUUAAGCAAUAUAUCGAAGUUGCCUUGGAAAAAGAUAGAUGAGAUGCUUCUGGGGAGUGAAAAACCAGAAACUGGACAAGGAGAAAAGAAAAAGAAAGAAAGCAGUGUAGGUGGAGGCAAGACAGAAAAAUCGGACAAAGAAAAAUAGAUAGAUAAAGAAUAAGAAUAAAGUAUUAAGAAAACAGAAAAGAUGAGAAUAAACUGAGGGGCAUAUGUAGAAAAAAAAAAAGGGGAUCGAGAUUAAUGUAAGAGGGUAAAGGAAUAACGUUAAAAUAUAAAAAAAAAGUGGAGGUGAAACGAGAUUAAUGUAAGAGGGUAAAGGAAUAACGUUAAAAUAUAAAAAAAGAAUGAAUCACAUUGACAUUAACGUAAGAAAUUUUUUUAUUAAAGUAAUUUAAAUAAAUUAAUAUGUUGUUGAAAUAAAGCUGACGUAAAGCUUCAUGUGACAUUGACACGGUCGUCUUGAUACUGGAGCUUAUGGGAAUAAAGUAUUUAAAAAAGUAGAACAAAUUGAGGGGCAUAAGUAGAAAAAUAAAGGUUAGGGUGACUUGAGAUUAGUGCGAAAGGAUAAAAUAAUAAGGUUAAAAUGUUAAAAGAGAAUGAUAAUAAAGUAUUAAAAAAUAAAAAGAAUAAGAAUAAAAUGAGGCGCGUAGAAAAAAAAUUAAGGUGAAUCCAGAUCAGUGCAAUAGGGUAAAAGAAUAAAUUUAAAAUAUGAAAAAAAAAAGUAUUCAAAACAAUUUAAUAAAGCUUUUAUAUUAUUUUUAAAUAAUUUUUCAUUUUUUAUUAGUUAAGUUUUUAUAAUUAAAUUAAUUAUAUAUUAACAUAUUUUAAGACAUGUAGAUAAUUAUGUGAUAAAAAUAUGCACAACCAAAAAUGUAAAAAUAUAAAAAAAUUUCAUUAAAAAAAGUGGUUUGACAAAAUUUUUUUAAUUGGUAUCAUAAUUAAAAAAUAUUAAAAAAAUAAUACUAAUAUUUAAAAUUAAUAAAAAAUUUACUUUUAUGAUCUUAAUAUUUAUUGAAUGUUAGUUCAAAAUUGCAAAUGAUUGUCAUAUAUACAUGUAAAUAAAAUAUAUGUACAUUUAGUCAACUAACAUGUACAUUAGAGGUCGUAAAAGUAUUUUCAUUUUUUUGUUAAUUUUGCAUAUGGACAUCUUUUCAUUCAUUAUUUUUUAUUAUUGUAUCAAAUAAUAAAUAUUUUCAAUUUAUGUAUAGUUUUAAUAAAAAUAACAAAUUAUUAUUAUUUAUUAAUAAAAAGUAAUGUCUACAGAUAAAAUUAAAAAAUGAAAAUAUUUACAUUUAUAUAAAAAUGAAAAUAUCUAUAUUUAUAUAAAAAUUAAUAAAGAGCAAAUUAAAAUAAUUUUUUUAAUUUUCAUAUAAAUAUAUAUAAAUAUUUCCUUUUUAUUAAUUAUACAUACAUUAAUUCCUUUUCACUAAUUAUUUUUAUUACAGUAUCCAAUUAAUUAAUCAUUUUUUAAUUUUUAUAUUUAGAUAAAUAUUUUUCUCUUUUAUUUAUUUAAUAUAUAACCAUGUUCUUUUUAUUUAAUAAAUAAUAAGGUUAAACUUAAAUUAGAUUUAUUUUUUACUAAUUAUUUUUCGAUUAUUGAUGUUCAAAUAAUUAAUUAUUUUUAUUUAAUUUUAUAUAAAUCUAAUCAUUUUCCCUUUUUUAAUUUAAAAGUAUUAUAUUAUAUUUUUUGAAUAAUUAUUUUGUUAUUUCAUGGUGUCAGUUAAAUAAAAAAUUUUAUUUUAGGCUAUGAGUUUUUUAUAUUUUUAUUUUAACACACAUUUUACAUUUAUUUCUCGCAUUCAUUCUUUAUUAUUAAAAUAUAUAUAUCAUGUCAUAAUUUAAGAUUAAAAGUGCUUAAAUAGUGAAAAAUAAAAAUUAAGAAUUUUUUUAUAUGCAAUAAUAAUAUAAGAGUUUAGUUACAUUGUUUUGAAUAUUUUAAGGAAUUUUUAUAUUUUAGCCAAAGUAUAAGUAGAUAACGGGAAAAAAAUUAGAUCAGAAAAAGAAAAAUAAGCGAAAUGAAUUGCAAUAGCAGUUAGAUGAAAUCAAAAUUUGAAUAUUGGAAGAACAAAAUAAAGAAAAAGGAAGUUCAGUUUGGAACAGGAAGUCAUCUUUUUUAUUAUUAUUAUUAUUAUUAUUUUUGGUCUUUUUCUCUUUGUCUUUUGCGUUUAUCUUGUGCGAGUAUCAGUCGCUUCUAUUCUCCCAAAUUUUCACGUCCACAAAAAUCUGAGGGCAAGUUUGUAAAGACAUUAUUCCUCGGCUCUUGAUUUAUUAGUGGAGGGAUUAACUUUCUUCUUUUUUUUUUUAACAUAUAAUAGCUUAUUUCAAAUAAUCAAACAAAUUCUUCAAGUUGUAAUAGUAAAUUAUCAAAUUUAAAUUUCAAAAUUUUCAAAAAUUUGGACUGUUUAUUAAAUUUAUCAAGUUUGAUAUUGAUUUGAUUUCGAAUUACAUUUUAAAUAUGCAUUAGGUAUGAAGAUAUAAAUAAUAGAGUUUUUUAUUAAAUAAUUUUAAAUAAAAUUUAAAUUAUAACAGAUUGAACAAAAUUUUAAAAUUCAAUCACUUUUAUCAUUCCUAUUUAUAAAUUUAUAAUUGAAAUGGUACUAUCUACAAUAAUUACACAUCUACAAUUGUAAUAACCUUUUUCUGAGCAAAAGAUGCCUGAUUCAACCUCUUGUUUUAUAACUAUUGUCUUUUCUUUUUUUAAUAAAGUAAGCUAGUCUUUUCACGUUUUAGAAAAAAAAUUUACUUUUUUUAAUUAUUUUGAAAUUUAAAUUAAAAUCUCUAAUGGAGAUAUAAUGAUCAAAAAGAAAAUUAUAAAUUUAAUUUAGUUAAUUUAUAUAAUUUUUUAAGAUAUAAUUUUUAAUACAUUUAAAAAUUAAAUUUUAAUAUUUAUAAAUUUUUUAUUUAAAAUUGUAACUUCUUUCAUAAAAAAUAAAAAAAAAAAUUUAUGAGGGACAUGUUCUAUCUAUAAUCUAUCCAUGUAUGUUGAAUGUUUAUUGGCUUAAAAUUCAUUUGGAUAAAUAAUAAUUUUAAUUUUAGUAAGAUUAAAAGUAAUGAUUAAGGAAAAUUUUAUUAUUAUAAUAAUAAAAUUAAAAUUAAUGAUUAAAUAUGUAUUUUAAUGUAAAAAUAGUGAUGACGAUAAAAUGAAUUAUAAUAAAAAAUAAUUAUUAAAAAUGUUAACUAAAAAUUAUAUAUAAAUAAAAAUUUAAAUUAUUUAAUAUUUAUAAAUUUAAUAAGUAAUUAAAAUUUUUUAAAAAUAAAAUUUAGUUAUUAAUUAAUUUAUUAUGUAAUAAAUUUUAUUUUUAUAUUAAAUUAACAAAUUUGUUUAAUAGUUUUUAAAUAAAAUAAUCAAAAUAAAAAAAUUUAAAAGUUUUGAACUUAAAAGGAGAAAAAUGGAAAAAGCAAUAAAUAAGCUGCAGGCACUGCAAACCGAAGCCUCUCUCUCCAGUAAAAAAUUCAUACACAUCACAUCUGACUACAAUUCUAUUUAGAUUUAGAACUUAAAAAGCCGCUGUGGGCACUUCCGUUCAUUAUAAACAGACUCAAACUAAUAAUUCGAUGAUUCCAAACAACUCUUAUUGAAAUUCACGUAAACUUUUGUUGACAUAACAGCCAAUAAGACGGGAGAAAAAACAAAACAAUUUGUAUCUUACUUCUACCAACUUAUUGGGAUGAGAAAAUUAUUGGUACUCUAACAUGUGUUGUGUGUUUUACGACAAGAUAUUUGCAAACUUAUCUGAUUUUCUUUUCCACAUUAAAACAUGGCAAUGACUUUGUUAGACUGGCACGGUCAAUAUUAAUCAAAUUAUUUACCUAGUUAGUUUUUUUUAUUUAAAUGUAUUUAGAUAUAUAAAUUAAUAUUAUCUAAUUACUUAUAUGUUUAAUAUAUAUGUAAACUAUAAAUAAUGUAAUUAAAAUAUCAAAACAUAAUAAAAUUUUAAAACAUAUAACAAUAUUUAAGAAAAAAAUAAAAUAACCAAAAGAUUUAUAUACAAAUAAUAUUAUCGAGUAUAUCGAUAAAAUAUUAAAUUAAAAAUUAAAAAUUUUAUUAUUUUAAUUUUUUUAAUUUGUGCCAUUUUCAUCUAAUGCAAUCAUUUUUGUGCACUUGUAAAUUUAUAUAAUUUUAAGAUAAUUUUUAUUUAUUUAAAAAAUAAUGAUUUUGGAUAUUAAAAUUCUUAUAUUUGAUUUGGGGUAUCUAUUCAUAGAGAUAAUUUUAGAUUUUUAAUUACAUUCAAAGUUUCAGAAUUAAAAACCAAUGACUUCUUAUGAUAUUUUAAGAUUCAAAAAAAAAAAAACUUUUAUCUCACAUUUGACUUAAAUAAAAAAUUACUUUUGUCUAUUUUAUUCUUUUGAAAAUCAACAUAUGGUAAUGAAAUUAAAAAUUUUUUUACAUACAAUUAAAUUGAAAACAAAUAUCACAAAUAUUACGUUUAUUGGAAUAUUUAAGAUGCUAUUUGAAUUUUUUUUAAUAUCAAAUACAACAUUUAUAUGAAACCAAAUACAAUAAUAGUGAUUAUUUUUGUCUAAUUUUUUCAUUCAAACAUUAUGUUUAAUGGUUUUAAAACAUAAUAAUUGUAAUUAUUUAUUGUAUUUUUUGAACAAAUACGAAGUAUUUAACAAUUGGUUAAUUUUUUUACCUAUUUUCUAAUUAAUAUUGUAUUUUGUAGGUUGAAAAGUAAUAUUUAUUAUAAUUUAUUACAUUUUUUAAAAUAAAAAUAUAGUAUUUGAUAACUUAUAAAUUUAAAAAAAUUUUCUUAUAUAAUAAUUACAUUUUAUAGAUUUAAAAAUACAAUAUUUAUUAUCAUUUAUUACAUUUCUGCUUAACGGAAAGCAAUAUUUGAAAAAUGAGAGCAUAGAAUUAAAAGUAAGAAAUCCAAUUGAUAUUUGCAAACUUAUCUGAUUUUUUUUUCCACAUUAAAAAUAUGGCAAUGACUUUAUUAGAUUAGAUCGGUCAAUAUCAAUUAAAUUAUUUUUUUAUUUAUAUUUUAUUCGAGCAACAUGCCAAUUAAUUUUAUUUAUUUAAAUAUAUUUAAAUAUAUAAAAUUAAUAUUAUUUAAUCGCUUAUAAGUUUAAUAUAUAAAUUACAAAUAAUAUAAUUAAAAUAUAAUAAUAUAAUAAUUUUUAAUUUUUAAUUAAAAAUAAAAAAUUCCAAACAUAUAAUAAUAUUUAAGGAAAAAUAAAAUAUCUAAAAGAUUUAUAUAUAAAUAGAAUUAUUGAAUUCAUUAAAAAAUUUAAAUUAGAAAUUAAAGGUUUCAUCAUUUGAAUUUAUUUUUUGUUGAAGUAUCAUUUUUAUCUAGCGCAAUUAUUUGUAUACAUUUGUAAAUUUAUAUAAUUUUAAAAUAAAAUUUAUUUAUUUGAAAAAAAAAUUAAAAAUUUAAAUAAUAUUCGUGACAACUUAUUCAUAAUAUAUUUUUUACAUGAGUUUUAGUGCAUCUAUAGGAUUUGCUAACUUAAUUUUUAUACUUAUUUAAAACUUUGCAUUUGAUAUAAAUUUGAGUUAUUAUAAAAAUUGAAAUAAAAUAAUUUUAAAUUUUAAGUAAUAGAAUUAAAUUUUAAAUAAUUAUAUUAAAAAUAUGUUGUAAAAAUAUUUUAAUAAAAAUGUGUCCUUUCCCAUUCAUAUAAUUUUAUAAUCAAUUUCAAAGGUAAAAAUAUUUACUUCUUAUGUUUCACUUUUAGAAAAAAAUAAUACUAUUAUAAAAAAUUUUAAUAAAUAAAUAUGAUAUCAUUUUUAUAUAAAAUAAUUAUGUUAUAAUUAGUACCACAUUUUAGUCAUUUGCUUUUAUUUAUAAUUUUAAAAAAAAAAAAAAAAACGCAACAAAAUCAAUAAUUAAAAACAAGCCUUUACAAAUAUUUUAUGGAUAAAUAAACAAGACCAACAAAAAAUGUCUAAAUAAUUAAAUCAAUAUUUUCUAUUUCCAAUUUUGAAAAUACUUUAGAAGAAUCAUUAUUAUGUUGAACUGAUCUUCUUCAUCCACUCUAAGAUCCGUGAAUUGUUAAAAAAAAAUUUAUAAGAUCCAUAUAUACACUCUUAAAUAAAAAAACAUAUUCAAAGUUUUCAUAAAAAUUUUAAAAAUAAAAAAUGAUUGAUUUUAAAUUUUUAAUAUGGAUAUACACAGAUUAUAAAAAAAAUAUAAUAAAAAAAUGCAUAUCACAUAUUAAAAAUUAUAAAAAUAUAAUAAAAAAUUUAAUGCAUCUCACAAGUUAAAAUUUAUAAAAAAAUAAAAUUAAUAUUACAAAUAUCGUUAAAAAAUAAAUUAUAAUCUUCUAAUAUAUAUAAUAUUUGAGAAGAAAACUCUAAAAAUAAAAAUUAAAUUUUAAAUUUUAAAAUAACAUAUAUUUUAAUUAUUAAGAAAUCUACUUCAUUGAAGAGAAAUUCAUUUCGGAUGAAUUGAACUCAUUAUUUUGGCAGCCUUCAAACUUUCAAUGGUCGCAAUGAUUUUAAUUUUGAGAAGAGCCACCCAUUGACUUUAACAAAUUUCUUAACUCAAUCCAUCUUCUACAAUCUACAUCGUUAAAGGCGUGUGGUAAAAUAUUAUUUUUAAUUUUAUUGAUCAGAAUUUAAUUCUAAUAAUUUCACAUAAAAAUUAAAACAUUUAUUAUGCACUGAUCACCUUGUAGUACUAUUUAAAAGUCACAGAGACGGUACGAAACAGGUUUUAUGGAUUCAAUUGCUGCUCUCGACCCUUUUGUCCUUGGACUUGGCUUCCAUGAUGAUCAUCCCCCUUCCAUGAUAAUCGUUAUACUUGUCAAACAAUAUUUAAUGACCAUUUUAUUUUGAUAUAAAUUUUAGAAUUUUAAAUUUAUCUUUUAAUUAUUUUUAUUCUUUAUUUUCUCUCCCAUAUUUUUCAACAACAAAACUUAUUUGAUAAUAUGAGAUUUUCGACUAUUUCAGCAACUGAAAACCAUAGAAAUUAUAUCAAAAUCAAAUUCAACAAUAGGAAACAAAAUUAAAAAAAAGUAAAAUAAAAUAAAAUGUUGAAAUUAUUAUUAAAAUGUAAUUUUUAUAAAAAAAAUAUUUUCUAAUUAAUAUAAACGAUGUACUUAAAAGUUUUAAAAUAUAUUAGUUAAAGUUUUUUAAUAAAAAGGUAAAAUAAUACUUUGCACUCAUUCCUAAUAUAUUCUUUUACAUAUUUUUAACUAAUCAAACAUCUCUUUUUAAGAAAAAAAAAACUCAUAAAAUACUUUAAUACCAUCAUUCUUAUAUUAUAUUCCAUAAAUCAAACUAUAAAAUUUGCCAGCCGUAAUUGGGCUUUGGUUUCUCAGCCACUAGCCAGGAGAAAAAAGUCGUUGAAAUUGGGCCUUGUCCUUCUCUUAGCAGUUUGAGUUUCUUUAUUUAUUAAUUUAAAAUCAAUAAUUAUUAAAAACCUAAAAAACCUGUAAAAACAAACAAAAUGAAAAAUCUAGCCCAGUAAACUGUAACCGAAAAUGGCACUCAACGCAGUCUCCCUCUUUUCUCUUUAUCCUCUCUCAUUUCAACCCAUUUGCUUUGUUAACUUAAACUCAACGCAGUCUGCCUCCCUCCUCUAUAUCCUCUCUCAUUUCAACUCAUUUACUCUGUUACCGCCGCCACUCAGCCAAGAUUCUUCGAUCUCGAGAGCCCGCCCGUAGGAUCAACGCCAUCUUCCUCAAUAGACUGAGGCACUUACAUUUUCAAAGAUUUUUCCAUUCCUUUUUUUUCAUUUUCUUUUUGUUUCACUUUUUAUGAAUUGUUUUUUUUUUUUUUAAACAGUUUCCAUCAAUUUCAUGAGAUGGCAGAUGAGGGAGGCAAGAGCUAUGCAAGGAGAGAUAAGCUACUGGAAAUCGAGUCAAAGGUUAGAGUUUUGUGGGAAGAAAAAUAUGUGUUUAAGGCUGAGCCUUGUGAAAAACCUCCUCAACCAGGUGAAAAAUUCUUUGGGAACUUUCCUUUCCCGUAUAUGAAUGGUUUUUUACAUCUGGAUCAUGCGUUUUCGCUUUCGAAACUCGAGUUUGCUGCUGCUUACCAUAGACUAAGAGGUGCUAAUGUGUUAUUGCCUUUUGCUUUUCUCUAGAUCUUACGUUUGAUUUUGUUGUUCUUCAGCUGUUAUGGAAGGUCUGCUCUAGAUAUAUAUAUAUAUAUUACCUAGAUUUUGCUUUCUUCUUAAUUUUUUAUUAUCAUUUUUCUGUCUAAGAUAAGCUUGAUUUUGAUGGCUGUGAAUCCUAUUUUUUU
rnacentral:lncRNA from 1 species